rnacentral:tRNA from 1 species
GCUCAGAUGGUAGAGUGCUCCACUGGAAAUGGUGAGGUCCCUGGUUUGAUACCAGG